UCAUGCUUUUGGUGAGCAAAUCUAAAAAAAAUGAACACUUUGAAAGCGCAUUUAACACCUCAUCUCCCGUCGUACCUAUGGACCGACCGCGACCUGAUGAUGGCUCGGGUUGGGUGGCUUACUUUACAUCCACUUCGUUCGGUUCGAUUCAGUCGUAACCGCGACGUCGAGAGAGGAGCAUUCGAUCGAGGCGUUUAAGCACCGCGCGAGUUCAGUGGAACUGGGGCUCUGCCUUUUGUGUGUCCGUCGUCGUUCACUGUAUGGGGGGGAGCGAGUGAUAGUGUUGGAUUAAGUGGUAUGUACUUUGCAAUUGAAAAUUGGGCUUUUCUUUGCGAUUUUUCCGGAUCGAAACAGGUGAAACCGUGCGACAGAAGGUGUGCACUAGUGAAUGGAGUGAAAAAUUGCCAGAAUUGGAUCGAUUUUCCCGGGAGAAAUGGGAAAAACAUGAAGCCCCAUUCGCAGUGAAUAGGCCAUCAAGGUGGUUCAAGAAGAAGAAGGUGUCGGUGGUGUGGAGCUCCAUAGAACACCAUAGAUCGGUAGUGGUGGAGCAGUGCUAGGCGAAAAGCCGUGGUGGUGGAGAACGAAACCAGCUGAAAGUAGCUAGAAGUUAGAAAUGUUAGAAACGGUCGUGUGUGGAAUGUUCUUAAAGGCAUCACACAGAGAAGAAUAACAUUAAAGUUCUCAAUUUGCAGCUUAAGUUUUGCCUUCUUGUGAUUCAAUAUUAAGUGCAUGGGAAGAUGUAAAACGUUGUGUCCUGCUGUAACCAACCAACCAGUCCAAGUGCGAUCAAGUUAAGCAGCAAAGAGUGAAAGUGGAGGAAAAACAAGUUUUCCAUAGUGCGAAGCAUCAAGCCAGCAACGUCAACUACAGGCUCUAAAACUACAGCAUGCGAAAGGCUUUACAGUCGUCAGUGUAGAUUCAACCAGUGCAAAUGUAACCCGAGAAGCUGACCAAGAAGAAAUAGCCUACUAUAUGUGUGUUACUGCUGCUUACAGAUCACUGGAUCAGUAGGAAUACAAGUGUUUGAGGGGGGUGUUGCUACGUGCGAAUUAUAUAAUUGCAAACCGACCUGGGAUCUAUCACGUCCGUUCCAGAGGAAGCCUUUUAAAACCGCUAAAACAGAUCUACGGAUAGUGGAGCAUUCGUGUCUAUAUCUACGUGCGUUCAACUUCAAUGUAUCUGCUGCUCUAGCUGCUAGAAGAUCAAAACGUGGCGAAGUGAAAAUAAACAUUUCAAUUUGGUGAAGCUGGAAUGGAAUAGGCAGGCAUUUGAAAUUGAAGAUCGAACAGUCAGUGAUUGGAUGUGCGUCGUCUGUCUGAGAGUACGUCCUAUACAUGUGUUGCACCACUACACUAUACUGUAUGUGCUAGAAGCCGGGGGAAUUUGCAUUGAAGAAGAAGGUGAAUGAGGUCAAGAUCGCGACUGUGAUCAUCAGUUUUAUCGUUUAUUGCCUGCUGCUGCAGCCAUACGUGAGAAUAGCUGAGUGCGUACGUGUGUGGUUGAAGUGAAUAUUGAAGCUGUCGAUUGCAAUUUGGUGUGGUUCCAGUAAAGGCGUGGCGGGUGCACCAGGGGCUGUAAUUGUCCACGGUAAGUGUUGAGAGAUGGUUGGUGGGUGGCAAAUGGGGGAGACAACAAUAAACAAUGCGCCCGCACAAUAUAAUCAUCAUCAUCAAUUAAAUGUUCAUCCCAUAAUACCUAGGCCAGGGGUUCUCAAAAUUUUUGAGCUUGCGACCCACUUUUGAUUCUAAUAAAAUUUGGCGACCCACCAUAAAAUACGUUUUUUUAUUUGGACUGAUAUUAAAUAAUUGGCUGUGCAGGUUUUGAUAAACUUACGUUAUACGGUACUCAAACUUUAAAAAAUAGUUUUUUGCUUUUCUAACAAAAUUAUAACAUAUUUUUUUGAAAAGUAAGUAAGUGCCAAUAAA